UACGUAGGGGGCAAGCGUUGUCCGGAUUUAUUGGGCGUAAAGAGCGUGUAGGCGGCCAUACAGGUCCGUUGUGAAAACUGGAGGCUUAACCUCCAGACGUCGAUGGAAACCGUAUGGCUAGAGUCCGGAAGAGGAGAGUGGAAUUCCUGGUGUAGCGGUGAAAUGCGCAGAUAUCAGGAAGAACACCAACGGCGAAGGCAGCUCGCUGGGACGGUACUGACGCUGAGACGCGAAAGCGUGGGGAGCGAACAGG
rnacentral:rRNA from 1 species